GCCUAUGUAAAACACCAUUUUCUGAAUUUGAAUGUUCAGGAAUUCAUUCCAAUUUUAACUUGAUUUCUAGAAUAUUUGUAUUUGUCUAAAACCUUAUAUUGAUUAUCACACACGUUAAGUAGAUAUCGCAAUGUUGGGUGUCCGCAAUGUUAAUUAGAUUACUCUGAUUAUAUCCUUUGUUUAUUUUCAAAUCUUGUCCCAGACAAUACACAGACAUAGUUGGGUUAUUACAAUGUCUACACUUAUUAGAGGUUGAUUAUAUUGACCCAUUAAACUUGAUACAUCAAAGACAAUUCUCGGAAUAUGUGAAAACUAAAACAAUAGUCUGAUAUUUUGGUUUUAGAAAAUGUCGGAAUGGGCGUGGAAAAAGCUGAGUUAAUCUUUUUAUUUAAUUCUAUUGGUUUAUUAAUCGAACUUGCAAAUUUAUUGCUUACCUGUAAAAGAACCUAUCAAAAUAAAUUACUCUAUAAAAAAAAGUUAGAAAUAUUUAUAACAGGAUUUGGCGAUUUCACCGUGGAAUCGAGCUGAAAAGUCAAUCGUGUUCUUAAGGGUUGUGGUGUAUCGAUUAAUUAGGCCCCUACCUAGUCGUGCGGCAUUGUUAGAACCAACCACAACAGAGAUAUUUUUUCAACAACCACAACAGAGAUAUUUUUUCAACAACCACAACAGAGAUAUUUGUUCAACAAAGUAUGCAGAGAAAACAAGAAUAUGAGGUUAUAUUUUUUAAUCAAAUGUUGCCUAUUUGUAAUGCAAAUUUAGAAUUAAUAUUUUUCGUUUCUGUUAAAACCCUAAACAACUAUACACUAAUUUUUUAUUUGCCGAAGGGCGUAUGGUUUUGGCGGGCAAACUGGAGAUCAAACAAUAAAUUUCGAGGUAUUUGAGGUAGUCUAAUUCAAUAUUCUAUCAUAUCCUAAUGUACAUAAUUGAUUUUCUAUUUGAUUAAUUAUUCAAAUAAUCAUUAUUGGGAUGCACUAUCGACUCUAGCCAGUCCUGAAUUGCAAUGAUUAUUGUUUGCGCCCUGUUGUUUACUAGACGCCAUUUUGAAAAACAGACUUGCCCUGCAUACAACUGAUUGUUAUCCAUUUUUCAGAUUGCAGUAUAUUUUUUACAAUAUAAUGCAGCGAUAGUGGCAUUAGUGCAGUCUAAUUGCUUUAAAAGGAAAUCUGAAUUCGGACAAAGAUCAACAAUAAAAUCAAGUUUCAAUAUUAGAUGACAUAGCAAAUCACCCAGGAAAAGAUCAUACAUGUGUAUAAUAAAACAAGUAAAAAAACACAAAAAAAUGGAAGAAGAAAGAGCUGAAAUGAUAAUUAGAGCGCCACAUAUGAUUUCUGCUUGGUGUUUUGGAGGGAGAGCGAGAGAAAUGGGGUUUAACGUCCACUCGACACAAACUAGGUCAUUUCGGGACUAACAUAUGGUUUAAUUUUAUUUACAUAAUUCGCUUGCGCGUAGGGGUCUUUAGCAGUGGGAGGAAACCGGAGGACCCGGAGAAAACCCACGAGGUUGGACAGGCGACCCUACUCCUUGCCACGUACAACCGGGGAUUCGAAACCACGCCAGUCGACUCAAUGACAGACUGUAUGAUACAGCGCGCGCACGCUAACCAUUCAGCCAUCCAACCCCCCUGUUUUGGAGGGGUAAGUGUUCAAUUCUAAUAGAAAAGAUUGUCAUUAUGGUAUUUUAGAAUCUCAUCAUUGGCAUAAUAUAUCCCGGUUGAGCUGAUGUGACAUAAAACUCAAUUCCAUUUCAGAUUAGUAUAGUAAAACUCUACACGUACAUGCACAUGUAUGUGCACGAUGAUGGUGGGUUUGCUCUCGAUCUUGGCCGAGAAACUUCACUGGAAUUUUCCGACAUGGUAUCUACCAGUCAGUGGUGCAGUUGUUUGAAUUCAACAUAAAACUAAAGUUCCAUGUACACAUUGCUGUGCACGUAAUAGACCACCUGGCAGUUGGAAUUCGAUAUAAGAGUAGGCCUUAGCGCCACGAUACCGGGCAAAAUUUCCCUUAAAGCACACUGUAUGACAUAUACCCAUCUUCAUUAGCCAAUUCGGAGCAGAGAUGCAGGACGUUAAACCCCCAUUUCAUUUCAUUUCAUUUUUUCAUCUCAUCUUUGACAAAGCAAACCAACACAUCACACAUAGGCCUACAAUGUAAUUAAAUUAACACUUUCAUUUUUUUAACUGUCUAGUCAAUUUAAGUCAACUUAUACAUGGCAUUUUGUUUUCAGUUAACCACAUUGGAAAGAUCCAGACAGUUGGAAAUAGAUAUUCUUGUGGAAUAUUUUUUCUCGCAGAUCUUGAUAAUCAGGCAAAAUAAUCUUGGAAGAGUAUAUGAUGUAUGAUAACAACGAGAGAACCCAACCACAACUUUUGAAUAUUACACCACCAAUUUAAUUCUGGAAAAGAAUACAUUUGACCCAUUUUUUAUUUUUUUUUUUAGUUUAAUGUUAAAUAUAUCCGAACACAAUUAUAUUUUAAUUCCCUCGAGAAAUUUGUGUAUAAUAUAGAAGGUAGAAUUUGGUCGGAAAUCAUAAAGUAUCUAAUAUGCAUUUCUGAAAACAAAACGUAGAUCAAAUAUUACAGAAUAACAAAAAAACCUUUACAUUGCUUAUGAGAUAGGGAGGUUGGAUGGCCGAAUGGUUAGCACGCGCGCGCUGUAUCAUACGGUCUGUCAUUGAGUCAACAGGCGGGGUUUCGAUUCCCCGGUUGUACGUGACAAGAUGUAGGGUCGCCUGUCCAACCUCGUGGGUUUUCUCCGGGCCCUCCGGUUUCCUCCCACAGCUAAAGACCCCUACGCGCAAGCGAAUUAUGGAAAUAAAAUUGAACCAUAUGUUAGUCCCGAAAUGACCUAGUUUGUGUCGAGUGGACGUUAAACCCUCCCCCCCCUCUCUCUCUCUCUCUCUCUCUCUCUCACUAAUGAGAUCAAUUAGGUGUUAAUAUCCUAGUUUUCUGGGUUAUUAAUUAAGCCCUACAACCUACUCUUAUAUCAAAUAUCAAAUGUUUCAACUGUAAAGGGUUCUUUUAACGGAACCGGGGGGGGGGGGGGGGCGAAUGGUUAACACGCACACCUUAUGACUUGUAAGUAAUUGUAUAUAAAUAUUUUGUACAUAUUAUUUAAUAUUUGCCAUUUUCUCUGAUAUUUAUAUAUUUUAAUCCAGCAAUCUUGAUGCUUUGCUCCUUUUAUGUACAAAAUAUUCAUUUUGUUAGUCUUUUUUAAUGAGGAAAGGGUUCGACAUCAUUUUAUUACUCCUGCAAAAUAGUUCAUUUUUCUUUUGUUAGUUUUUUGUGUAUGCUAGUUAUUUCCAGUUGCCUCACAAAUCACUUGUAACAUGACUUUGUAGUACAUUUCAAUUUUUGAAAGUAAUUCACUUUAGUGCAUAAUUUAUCUUAUUAGUGCUUGGUUUGGAUGUUAUUAAAUUUAGAUAUAUUUGAAUUAUAUAUUUUUCGGGUGUGGGGUAAGGAUACUGUGUAUAUGUCUUUAUAUUCUCAGUACUUGUUUCAGGGUAAAGAAAAAUUUAAAUACCUAUUUUAUAUUUUGUGAUAUGGGGGGAGGGGGGUAUUUUGUCAUUAUAUAACACAAUUUUAUUAAUAUUAUUUCUGCUUUUCUGUCAACAUUCCAAAUGUCUAUUUAGUUUUGA